rnacentral:rRNA from 1 species
AUGGUCGAGGUAAACAACGGCACUGGGCUGAGCACGGUGGAGGCAGGCGGCGGCGCUGAGGCAGACAUGGGGGAGGUGGACAGCGGCGCUAUGGCAGCCACGGAGGAGGUGGACAGAGGCGCUAGGCCGGUCAUGGCGCACGUGGACGGCGGCGCUAGGCCGGCCAUGGCGGAGGUGGACGGCGGCGACGUGGCCAUGGCUGAGCCAUGCGGUGGCGAUCCCUAA